rnacentral:rRNA from 1 species
UACGAAGGGGGCUAGCGUUGCUCGGAAUCACUGGGCGUAAAGGGUGCGUAGGCGGGUCUUUAAGUCAGGGGUGAAAUCCUGGAGCUCAACUCCAGAACUGCCUUUGAUACUGAGGAUCUUGAGUACGGGAGAGGUGAGUGGAACUGCGAGUGUAGAGGUGAAAUUCGUAGAUAUUCGCAAGAACACCAGCGGCGAAGGCGGCUCACUGGCCCGUUACUGACGCUGAGGCACGAAAGCGUGGGGAGCAAACAGG